rnacentral:rRNA from 1 species
UGUCCAGACUCCUACGGGAGGCAGCAGUGAGGAAUAUUGGUCAAUGGCCGUAGGGCUGAACCAGCCAAGUAGCGUGAGGGAAGACUGCCCUAUGGGUUUUAAACCUCUUUUAUGCGGGGAUAAAGGUGUCCACGUGUGGAUGUUUGCAGGUACCGCAUGAAUAAGGACCGGCUAAUUCCGUGCCAGCAGCCGCGGUAAUACGGAAGGUCCGGGCGUUAUCCGGAUUUAUUGGGUUUAAAGGGAGCGUAGGCCGGUCGUGAAGCGUGCCGUGAAAUUUUGUGGCGCAAACGUGGGACUGCGGCGGAAACUGGAGGCCUUGAUUGCGCGAAAGGCAGGCGGAAUUCGU